GCCUUCAUGAAGUCGGAAUUGCUAGUAAUGGCAGGUCAGCAUACUGCCGUGAAUACGUUCCCGGGCCUGGUACACACCGCCCGUCACACCAUGAGAGUUGGAGAUACCCGAAGCCUAUGAGCUAACUUUUAGAGGCAGUAGUCGAAGGUAGGAUCAAUGAUUGGGGUGAAGUCGUAACAAGGUAGC
rnacentral:rRNA from 1 species